ACAUACAUAGUUUUUGCGUUACUGAAUUCAUCGCUAUGGCCUAGCAUGACCUAUAAAACUAUAACAAUUACGUCAUGACGCCUUUAAUGAGAUUAAUAUUUCUUCUUUGUCGUUCUUGUAUUUCUUUUGUAUAAAACAAGCACUCCUCCAAUGUUUUUGCUGCUCAUGUCUUCCACUAGUAUGUCUGGUGGUUGUUUCCAUUGCAAUAGAUGUUACUACUUUGUGAUAUCCUCCAUCUUUUGUUAGGCAUGCUGCUACUUUUACUAGUUCUUGGUCAAUUUAGGAAGCAAUUCUUUGGAAUGGGUGGUUUAGGAAACAUGAGAGGCCAGAGGUUAGGUAAGUUAAUCUUAUUUAUGUAUAUUUUCUAUAUAUAAAUUGAUGAAGUUUAAUAUCAUAAUUUUUCUAAAUCAUUAGUUUGCUAGUACAUAUUUUAACAGCAUGCCAAGGUGUUAUGUACCACUUGAUUUUGUAUUAGAUUUUCGAAAGCUUCCACAUUUGCGUUGUGGUAGCAAUAGCAACUCAACACAUGAAAGAAGUAGAGUUCAAUCCUAUUCCCCUCUCAUUUAGAAGGAGAUUAUGGCAAGGAUGAAAACAAAGGAGAAUGCUCCAACUACAGGUAAAUCUAGUGACCAAGGCCAUGAUCGUUGAUCAN
rnacentral:lncRNA from 1 species